rnacentral:rRNA from 1 species
GACGUAGGUGGCGAGCGUUGUUCGGAAUCACUGGGCAUAAAGCGCGCGUAGGCGGCCAUGUCAGUCGGGUGUGAAAGCCCUCGGCUCAACCCGAGGAACUGCGUCCGAUACUGCAUGGCUUGAGGUCCGGAGGGGAGAGUGGAAUUCCCGGUGGAGCGGUGAAAUGCGUAGAGAUCGGGAAGAACGCCGGCGGCGAAAGCGAACUCGUC